AGUGGAUGGGGAGCAACCUAGUUGUGCGUGUGUAAAGGUAGUGCCAAGAAAAGCGAUGAUCAUGUUGAAAAUCAAUUCCCGGUACCCGAAACCGACACAGGUGGGCAAGUAGAGAAUACUAAGGGGCGCGAGGUAACUCUCUCCAAGGAACUCGGCAAAAUGACCCCGUAACUUAGGGAGAAGGGGUGCCACCGAGAGGUGGUCGCAGUGAAGAGGCCCAGGCGACUGUUUAGCAAAAACAUAGGUCUCUGCAAACUCGAAAGAGGAGGUAUAGGGGCUGACCCUGCCCAGUGCCGGAAGGUUAAAGAAGUUGGUCAGUUUUAGGAUGAAGCUAGCGACUGAAGCCCCGGUGAACGGCGGCCGUAACUAUAACGGUCCUAAGGUAGCGAAAUUCCUUGUCGGGUAAGUUCCGACCCGCACGAAAGUCGUAACGAUCUGGGCGCUGUCUCGGAGAGAGGCUCGUCGAAAUAGGAUUGUCUGUGAAGAUACGGACUACCUGCAUUUGGACAGAAAGACCCUAUGAAGCUUUACUAUAGCUUGGAAUUGUGUUCGGGCUUCCUGUGCGCAGGAUAGGUGGGAGGCGUAGAAGGUAUUCUUGUGGGGAUACUGGAGCCAACGGUGAGAUACCACUCUCAGGAGGCUAGAAUUCUAACUUAAUUAAGGACAGUUUCAGGUGGGUAGUUUGACUGGGGCGGUCGCCUCCAAAAAGGUAACGGAGGCGUACAAAGGUUCCCUCAGACUGGUUGGAAAUCAGUCGAAGAGUGCAAAGGCAGAAGGGAGCUUGACUGCGAGAAGUACAGUUCGAGCAGGGUGGAAACACGGUCUUAGUGAUCCGACGGUCUGUGUGGAAGGGCCGUCGCUCAACGGAUAAAAGUUACUCUAGGAUAACAGGCUGAUCUCCCCCAAGAGUUCACAUCGACGGGGAGGUUUGGCACCUCGAUGUCGGCUCAUCGCAACCUGGGGCGGAAGUACGUCCCAAGGGUUGGGCUGUUCGCCCAUUAAAGCGGUACGUGAGCUGGGUUCAGAACGUCGUGAGACAGUUCGGUCCAUAUCCGAUGUAGGCGUGAGAAUAUUGAGAGGAGCCUUCCUUAGUACGAGAGGACCGGGAAGGACGCACCGCUGGUGUACCUGUUAUGAUGCCAAUUGUAAACGCAGGGUAGCCAAGUGCGGAGAGGAUAACCGCUGAAAGCAUCUAAGUGGGAAGCCCACCUCAAGAUGAGUAUUCUGGUGUAAGGUCACGGGAAGACGACCCGUAAAUAGGCACGAGGUGGAAGUGCAGAGAUGUAUGAAGCCGAAGUGUACUAAUAGACCGUCGGCUUGACCA
rnacentral:rRNA from 1 species